rnacentral:rRNA from 1 species
UACGAAGGGGGCUAGCGUUGCUCGGAAUCACUGGGCGUAAAGGGUGCGUAGGCGGGUUCUUAAGUCAGAGGUGAAAUCCUGGAGCUCAACUCCAGAACUGCCUUUGAUACUGAGAGUCUUGAGUUCGGGAGAGGUGAGUGGAACUGCGAGUGUAGAGGUGAAAUUCGUAGAUAUUCGCAAGAACACCGGUGGCGAAGGCGGCCAACUGAACCAUUACUGACGCUGAGGCGCGAAAGCGUGGGGAGCAAACAGG